rnacentral:rRNA from 1 species
GACGUAGGGGGCAAGCGUUGUCCGGAAUCAUUGGGCGUAAAGAGCGCGUAGGCGGUCCGGUAAGUCCGCUCUGAAAGUCCGGGGCUCAACCCCGGGAGGCGGGCGGAUACUGUCGGGCUAGAGUCCGGAAGAGGCGAGUGGAAUUCCUGGUGUAGCGGUGAAAUGCGCAGAUAUCAGGAGGAACACCAAUGGCGAAGGCAGCUCGCUGGGACGGUACUGACGCUGAGGCGCGAAAGCGUGGGGAGCAAACAGG